rnacentral:rRNA from 1 species
AGAACGAACGCUGGCGGCAUGCCUAACACAUGCAAGUCGAACGUGAUCCAGGCUUCGGCCUGGUGAAAGUGGCAGACGGGUGAGUAACGCGUGGGAACCUGCCCUGUGGUAGGGAAUAACCGCGGGAAACUGCGGCUAAUACCCUAUGAGUCCUUCGGGAGAAAGAUUUAUCGCCAUAGGAGGGGCCCGCGUCGGAUUAGGUAGUUGGUGGGGUAACGGCCUACCAAGCCUUCGAUCCGUAGCUGGUCUGAGAGGAUGAUCAGCCACACUGGGACUGAGAUACGGCCCAGACUCCUACGGGAGGCAGCAGUGGGGAAUAUUGGACAAUGGGGGCAACCCUGAUCCAGCAAUGCCGCGUGGGUGAUGAAGGCCUUCGGGUUGUAAAGCCCUUUCGGCGGGGAAGAUGAUGACGGUACCCGCAGAAGAAGCCCCGGCUAACUUCGUGCCAGCAGCCGC